rnacentral:rRNA from 1 species
AUACGAAGGGUGCAAGCGUUACUCGGAAUUACUGGGCGUAAAGCGUGCGUAGGUGGUUGUUUAAGUCUGUCGUGAAAGCCCUGGGCUCAACCUGGGAAUGGCGAUGGAAACUGGGCGACUAGAGUGUGGCAGAGGGUAGUGGAAUUCCUGGUGUAGCAGUGAAAUGCGUAGAGAUCAGGAGGAACAUCCGUGGCGAAGGCGACUGCCUGGGCCAACACUGACACUGAGGCACGAAAGCGUGGGGAGCAAACAGGAUUAGAUGCCCUGGUAGUCCACGCCCUAAACGAUGCGAACUGGAUGUUGGGUGCAAUUUGGCACGCAGUAUCGAAGCUAACGCGUUAAGUUCGCCGCCUGGGGAGUACGGUCGCAAGACUGAAACUCAAAGGAAUUGACGGGG